rnacentral:rRNA from 1 species
GAAUAUUGGACAAUGGGCGCAAGCCUGAUCCAGCCAUCCCUCGUGCAGGAAGAAUGCCCUAUGUGUUGUAAACUGCUUUUGUCAAGGAAUAAACCUCCGGAUUCACUCUGGAGCUGAAGGUACCUUCAGAAUAAGCCCCGGCUAACUCCGUGCCAGCCGCCGCGGUAAUACGGAGGGUGCAAGCGUUAUCCGGAAUCACUGGGUUUAAAGGGUGCGUAGGUGGCAUUGUAAGUCAGAAGUGAAAGUUUGCGGCUUAACCGUAAAAUUGCUUUUGAUACUGCAAUGCUUGAAUCAGGUUGAGGUUGGCGGAAUGUGGCAUGUAGCGGUGAAAUGCUUAGAUAUGCCAUAGAACACCGAUUGCGAAGGCAGCUGACUGGACCUGUAUUGACGCUGAGGCACGAAAGCGUGGGGAGCGAACAGG